rnacentral:rRNA from 1 species
GGAGGGCGUAAAGUUUCUAUUAUAUUGGCUGUUAAGCAUCUAAGCGUAAGCUUAUGUGGAGCAAAACUUUAGUGUAGAUCUUGGUGGUAGUAGCAAAUAUUCAAAUGAGAACUUUGAAGACUGAAGUGGAGAAAGCUUCCAUAUGAACUGUGUUUGUUUAUGGGUUAGUCGAUCCUAAGAGAUAGGUUAAUUCUCAUAGAAUGUCUAUUACUUUAUUGUAAUCACCUAUCGAAAGGGAAACAGGUUAAUAUUCCUGUACCAAAUCAAGGAUAAGUAAAAUGGUAACAUAAAAGAACCUAGAAACGUCUAUGGAAAUCCUGGGAAGAGUUCUCUUUUCUUUUUAACUAAUCUGUGUAUGGUUUACCAUGCAUGUAAAAGACCUUGGAAUCAGUUCAGCUGGAGAGAAGGUUUAAAGAUUGGUAAAGUAACUCAUUCUUUUGAGUUAUCUGGUGUAUUUCCAGUAGGCCCUUGAAAAUCUAGGGAAAUAAAUUAAUUUUCUUUGAUUGUUCGUACUCAUAACCGCCGCAGGUCUCCAAGGUUAGAAGACCUCUAGUUU